UACCUUUUUAUGUUUUAGGCUCUCUCUAUAUAAGAGAGUUUUAGGUAUUCUGUUUUGGACAUUCAUAUCUUUUCUUAUCAAUAGAAGUUUUUAAGCUUUUAUCUUUUCUGGUGGAUUCCAGAGCUUAAUAUUCGAGUUCUUGCUUGAGAGCUUGAUUUUGAUCUAAGGGUUAGUGUUUGCUAACCUUAGUGAUUUCCGACUGCGUCAAGUGGUAUCAGAGCCAGGUUUUCUCCUUCUCUUUUCGAAGCUUGAUCAGCCAUGGGUGAUCAACCAGUAACCAAAGCCGACUUCGAGGGUUUCGCAGAAGGUUUAAGGGAGGCAACCACAAACCUCACUACUGUAACUGCUCAAUUGGCAAAUCUGGUAACUGCGUUAAAUAAUCAGGUUGUGGCUUAUCCCAAUCAGGUUAAUCACGCCGGUCAAAGAGGUGGAGAAAGAAGACCAAUUCGGGGUCAACAAGGUCGAAACAAUCGUGAUGUUAUUGUUGAUAAUUCUAGUUCAGAAGAAGAAUCAGAAGAAGAAAUAGCUGAAGAAAACCAACAAAACAAUUAUGAUUAUCGGGUAAAAGCCGAUAUUCCAUUGUUCUAUGGAACUAUGGGAGUGGAGGAGUUUCUUGAUUGGCAAAUUGAUGUUGAUCGAUUUUUUGAUGUCAUGGGCGUUCCUGAGAAUAAACAAGUUAAGAUGGUAGCUGUCAAACUGAAGAAGACUGCUGCAGUGUGGUGGGAUAAACUCGUUGUCCAAAGGCAAAGACAAAGGAGAGGACCAGUUAGGACUUGGCGUCGAAUGAAGCAAUUAAUGCUGGAGCGAUUCUUACCGGAAGAUUACGAACAAAUUCUUUACAAGAUGUAUCUCGAUUGUGUUCAAGGAAACAGAACUGUGACCGAGUACACAGCUGAAUUCUUGCGUUUCUCUGAACGCAAUGAGUUAGGCGAAACAGAGAAUCAGAAGGUGGCUAGGUACAUCAGUGGGUUAAAGGGUUCUCUUCAGGGAAAGAUGGGUUUGCAAACCGUAUGGACUGUGCAGGAAGCUUCCAGUCUAGCAUUAAAAGCUGAGUUAAUGGAGAAGUCAUCACGCGGGUUCUCAACAUUUAGAAGAAACACGGCUCAGACCAAUUUUGAACCAACAAGUGAGAAAGAAAAGAGUGUAGCCAAUAAAGACUCCAAUCCGGGAAACAAAGGAGCUAGUAGCUCUAACUCAACCCAACAGAACAAGGCACCAGCUCAGAGACAAAACAAUCCUUAUGCUAAGCCUUCCAUUGACAAGUGUUUCCGUUGCCAAGGACAUGGUCAUAAAUCAAAUGUCUGUCCAAGUCGGAGAACAGUUGCUAUAAUAGAGGAAGAAGAUGAAGAGGAUGAAAGGGAUUUUGCUGAGAAUGAAGAAUAUGAGGGAGCUGAAUUCGCUGAAGAAGAAUCUGGAGAGAUGAUAAACCUUGUGCUGCAACGAGUCUUGUUAUCAUCUAAAGAAGAAGGCCAACGUAAGAAUUUGUUUAGAACACAUUGUUCUAUUCAAAACAAGGUGUGUAAUGUGAUUGUGGAUAAUGGAAGCUCAGAGAAUUUAGUUUCUCAAAAGCUGGUGGACUAUCUGAAGCUACCCACAACCCGUCAUGAGAAACCGUACGGUCUUGGUUGGGUGAAGAGAGGAUCACAAGUUCGAGUUAGCAUGACUUGCAAAGUUCUCAUAUCUAUAGGUAAACAUUAUAAGGAGGAGAUCACUUGUGACGUUCUUGACAUGGAUGUUUGUCACAUUCUUCUUGGACGACCUUGGCAGUAUGAUAACGAUAUCACAUAUCGAGGUCGAGACAAUGUGAUAAUGUUUACGUGGGGCAACCAUAAAAUUGCCAUGGCACCUGUUAAGGAUUUUUGUAACACUGCGAAGGAAAAGAAGUCAAGUUUCUUGGUUAUGACACAUGACGACAAAGAGCUUGAUGGGGAUGUUCAAGAAGCAAGGUGUUUCUAUCCCUUGGUUGUUAAAGGGUUGUUGAGUGCAGUAACGGAGGAAACGUCAACCCCAAGAGAAGUGUUAGAAAUUCUGGAUGAUUUCAAAGAGUUGAUUGCGGAAGAACUUCCUAAUGAUCUACCUCCCAUGAGAGAUAUUCAGCAUCAUAUUGACUUGAUUCCAGGAUCCAGUCUGCCAAAUCUUCCCCAUUACCGUAUGAGCCCUAAGGAGAAUGAGAUUUUAAGGGAACAGAUUGAAGAUUUGCUGAGAAAAGGAUUUAUUCGUGAGAGCAUGAGUCCAUGUGCCGUACCGGUUCUGCUAGUUCCUAAGAAAGGUAACCAGUGGCGGAUGUGUGUUGAUAGUAGAGCCAUUAAUAAGAUAACCAUUAAAUAUCGAUUCCCUAUACCCCGGUUGGAAGAUAUGCUUGAUGAGUUGUCAGGUUCUAAGGUGUUUUCAAAAAUAGAUCUUCGAAGUGGCUAUCAUCAAAUUCGAAUCAGGCCUGGAGAUGAGUGGAAAACUGCUUUUAAGAGUAAAGACGGAUUAUUCGAAUGGAUGGUGAUGCCUUUUGGGUUGUCAAAUGCUCCUAGCACUUUCAUGAGAUUAAUGAACCAGGUUCUCCGCCCGUUCAUUGGUUCUUUUGUGGUGGUUUAUUUUGAUGACAUUUUGAUAUACAGUAAAACAAAAGACGAGCAUAUGGAACAUUUGAAGCAAGUUUUGCAGGUUUUACAAGAAAACCAAUUGUACAUCAAUCUAAAAAAAUGUACGUUCAGCACCAACAAGCUGUUAUUUCUUGGAUUUGUUAUUGGUGAAGAAGGGAUUCAGGUUGACCAGGAGAAAGUGAGUGCCAUAAGGGAUUGGCCGGUUCCUAAGUCAGUCACUGAGAUACGCAGCUUUCAUGGUCUAGCUACUUUCUACAGAAGAUUUGUUAGAGAUUUUAGUACCAUUACUGCGCCUAUCACUGAGUGUUUGAAGAAAGGGAAGUUUCAUUGGGGAUCUGAACAGGAAGAGAGUUUUGCUUUAAUUAAAGAGAGGCUUUGUACUGCACCAGUAUUAGCCUUACCCGAUUUUGACAAAGUGUUUCAAGUGGAAUGUGACGCUAGUGGUGUGGGAAUAGGUGCCGUCUUAUCACAAGAAAAACGACCGAUAGCUUUCUUUAGUGAAAAGUUAAGUGAAGCUCGCCAAAAGUGGAGCACGUAUGAUCAAGAGUUCUAUGCGGUUUUUCGAGCUCUUCGACAAUGGGAGCAUUACUUGGUUCAGAGAGAGUUUGUUCUAUUUACAGACCACCAAGCUCUAAAGUAUCUUCACAGCCAGAAAGUGAUAAAUAAGAUGCAUGCUCGUUGGGUAAGUUUUCUGCAAAAGUUUCCUUUCAUUAUUCAGCAUAAGUCUGGAACUCUUAACAAGGUGGCAGACGCCUUGAGUAGAAGAGCUUCCUUACUCACUAUCUUAGCACAAGAGGUUGUGGGUUUCGAGUCUUUGAAGGAGUUGUACGAAUGUGAUGUUGAAUUCAAGGAGUUAUGGGGCAAAUGUAAUGGGAAGCAUCCUUCGGCAGAUUUCCACAUACGAGAUGGUUAUCUUUUUAAAGGAGACAGGCUGUGCAUUCCUUGCUCGUCAUUACGAGAAAAGUUGAUUCGCGAUUUGCAUGGUGGCGGCCUUAGUGGUCAUUUGGAAGAGACAAGACCAUUGCUAGCUUGGAGACAAGGUUUUAUUGGCCACAUUUAAGGAGAGAUGCGGGUGCUAUAGUUAAAAGGUGUUAUAUCUGUCAGGUUUCUAAAGGACAAUCUCAGAACACUGGACUUUAUAUGCCAUUACCAAUCCCAGAAGAUAUUUGGCAAGACUUGUCUAUGGAUUUUGUGCUAGGCUUACCUCGUACACAGCGAGGCGUCGAUUCUGUGUUUGUGGUCGUUGACAGAUUCUCCAAGAUGUCGCAUUUCAUCGCUUGCAAGAAGACUGCAGAUGCCUCUAACAUCGCCAAGUUAUUUUUUCGGGAAGUGGUACGUCUUCAUGGGGUUCCUAAGACAAUAAUUUCCGACAGAGAUACCAAGUUUCUGAGUCACUUCUGGAUUACACUUUGGAGAAUGUUUGGAACCAGCUUGAAACGGAGUUCUACAGCUCAUCCACAGACUGAUGGGCAAACCGAGGUGACGAAUAGAACUUUGGGGAAUAUGAUUCGAAGUGUUUGUGGAGAUAAACCGAAACAAUGGGAUCUGGCUUUACCUCAAGUGGAGUUUGCUUACAACAGUGCCGUGCACUCAGCUACAGGGAAAUCACCUUUUUCUUUGGUCUAUUGUUCUAUUCCGAAGCAUGUGGUCGAUUUGGUUAAGUUGCCUAAAGCUCCUGGAGUUAGUAUCUCAGCUGAGGCUAUGGCAGAGGAUAUUCUAGCAACUAGAGACGCUGUCCGAGCGAAGUUAGAAGCAACUGGCCAAAAGAAUAAAGAAGCAGCAGACAAGCGUAGAAGACUCAAGGUUUUCAAAGAAGGAGAUGAAGUGAUGGUGUUUCUACGAAAAGAAAGAUUCCCCGUGGGCACAUAUCGCAAGUUACAGCCUCGCAAAUAUGGUCCAUUCAAGAUUUUGCGGAAGUUAAAUGAUAAUGCUUAUGUGGUGGCACUUCCAGAAGACAUGAACAUUUCUAAUACGUUCAAUGUGGCUGACAUCUAUGAGUACCAUGCUGAUGGUGUUCUUUAUCCAGAAGAGAACUCGGGGUCGAGUUCUUUCGAGGUGGAGGAGACUGAUGUAGGAGACUCUUAGAUUUACAUAACCUAAUCUAGAAGUUUUCCUUUUAUUUCAUGUUUUCUUUUUAUUAUAGGGAUUUACCUUUUUAUGUUUUAGGCUCUCUCUAUAUAAGAGAGUUUUAGGUAUUCUGUUUUGGACAUUCAUAUCUUUUCUUAUCAAUAGAAGUUUUUAAGCUUUUAUCUUUUCUGGUGGAUUCCAGAGCUUAAUAUUCGAGUUCUUGCUUGAGAGCUUGAUUUUGAUCUAAGGGUUAGUGUUUGCUAACCUUAGUGAUUUCCGACUGCGUC
rnacentral:lncRNA from 1 species